AACUUUCGACAAUGGAUCACUUGGCUCUCGCAUCGAUGAAGAACGCAGCGAAAUGCGAUAAGUAAUGUGAAUUACAGAAUUCAGUGAAUCAUCGAAUCUUUGAACGCAUCUUGCGCUCCAUGGUAUUCCGUGGAGCAUGCCUGUUUGAGUGUCAUUCAAGUUCUCAACCACAACUGGAUUCUUUUUUCUGUUGUGGCUUGGAUUGGUGGGGGAUUUGCUGGCUUUCACAAGUCUGCUCCCCUGAAAUGCAUUAGUGGUAUGAGCUACUACGUGGUGUGAUAAAUUUAUCUAUGCCCUGCUAGUGUGCAGCUGUAUACUGCUUCUAACAAAAACCUUAUUUGUUUGAUGAAUUUGACCUCAAAUCAGGUAGGACUACCCGCUGAACUUAAGCAUAUCAAUAAGCGGAGGCU
rnacentral:misc_RNA from 1 species